rnacentral:rRNA from 1 species
UGCCCACUGAUUUAAUUGAAGGGCUGCAGUAUUUUGACUGUACAAAGGUAGCAUAAUCAUUAGUCAUUUAAUUGAUGACUUGUAUGAAGGAUUGGAUGAGAUAUUAACUGUUUCUUUGAUAUAGUAUAGAAUUUAAUUUUUUAAUUAAAAAGUUAAAAUAAAUUAAAAAGACGAGAAGACCCUAUAGAGUUUUAUUAUUAAUUGAUUAAUAUUAUAUAUAAUAUUUAAUAAUUUAAAUUAAAAAAAUAAUUUUGUUGGGGUGAUAAAAAAAUUAAUUAAACUUUUUUUUAAUUAUUAACAAAAAUAAAUGAUUAUUUGAUCCAUUUUUAUUGAUUAUAAGAGAGAAUUACCUUAGGGAUAACAGCGUAAUUUUUUUUUUUAGUUCAUAUAAAAUAAAAAGUUUGCGACCUCGAUGUUGGAUUAAGAUAAAAUUUAAAUGUAGAUGUUUAAAGAUUUUGA